UACGUAGGGGGCAAGCGUUGUCCGGAUUUAUUGGGCGUAAAAGGCUUGUAGGUGGCCACGCCAAGUCGGAUGUGAAAUCUCCCGGCUCAACUGGGAGGGUCAUUCGAUACUGGUGGGCUCGAGGCCGGUAGGGGGAAGUGGAAUUCCCGGUGUAGUGGUGGAAUGCGUAGAUAGUCGGGAGGAACACCAGUGGCGAAGGCGGUUCUCUGGGACGGUACUGGACGCUGAG
rnacentral:rRNA from 1 species